rnacentral:rRNA from 1 species
AACGAACGCUGGCGGCAGGCCUAACACAUGCAAGUCGAACGAGAAAUUUCCCGCUUGCGGGAGAAAGUAAAGUGGCGCACGGGUGAGUAUCGCGUGGUUAAUCUGCCCUUGAGUGGGGAAUAACGUACCGAAAGGUGCACUAAUACCGCAUAAGACCACAGUGUCCGCGGACACAGGGGUCAAAGGGGGCUUUAAGCUCUCGCUUGAGGAUGAGACCGCGUCCCAUUAGCUUGUUGGUGAGGUAACGGCUCACCAAGGCCGCGAUGGGUAGCUGAUCUGAGAGGAUGAUCAGCCACACUGGAACUGAAACACGGUCCAGACUCCUACGGGAGGCAGCAGUGAGGAAUAUUGCGCAAUGGGGGAAACCCUGACGCAGCCAUGCCGCGUGGGUGACGAAGGCCUUCGGGUCGUAAAGCCCUGUCAGAUGGAAAGAACAACCCAUGGGUUAAUACCCCAUGGGCCUGACGGUACCAUCAAAGGAAGCACCGGCUAACUCCGUGCCAGCAGCCGCGGUAAUACGGGGGGUGCAAGCGUUGUUCGGAAUUACUGGGCGUAAAGGGCGCGUAGGCGGUUUGGUAAGUCAGACGUGAAAGCCCCAGGCUCAACCUGGGAAGUGCGUUUGAUACUGCUUGACUUGAGUCCUGGAGAGGGUUGUGGAAUUCCUGGUGUAGAGGUGAAAUUCGUAGAUAUUAGAAGGAACACCAGUGGCGAAGGCGGCUUGCUGGGCCAUUACUGACGCUGAGACACGAAAGCGUGGGGAGCAAAUAGGAUUAGAUACCCUAGUAGUCCACGCCGUAAACGAUGAGUACUAAGUGUUGGGGUUACCCAGUGCUGAAGUUAACACAUUAAGUACUCCGCCUGAGUAGUACGGUCGCAAGACUGAAACUCAAAGGAAUUGACGGGCACCCGCACAAGCGGUGGAGCAUGCCGUUUAAUUCGAAGCUACGCGAAGAACCUUACCUAGACUUGACAUCCCUGGCAAUCGCUUAGAAAUAAGCGUGAGGUUACCCAGGUGACAGGUGGUGCAUGGUUGUCGUCAGCUCGUGUCGUGAGAUGUUGGGUUAAGUCCCGCAACGAGCGCAACCCUUGUCUUUAGUUACUAACAUUUAGUUGAGCACUCUAAAGAGACUGCCGGUGAUAAACCGGAGGAAGGUGGGGAUGACGUCAAAUCAUCAUGCCCCUUACGUCUAGGGCUACAGGCGUGCUACAAUGGCCAGUAUAAUGGGUCGCAAUACCGUGAGGUGGAGCUAAUCCUCAAAACUGGUCCCAGUUCGGAUCGAAGUCUGCAACUCGACUUCGUGAAGUUGGAAUCGCUAGUAAUCGUGAAUCAGAAUGUCACGGUGAAUACGUUCCCGGGUGUUGUACACACCGCCCGUCAUGCCAUGAGAGUUGGUAAUACCCGAAGCCGGCCUAGGGUCGUCGAAGGUAGGAUCAAUGAUUGGGGUA